GUAUUCUCUGGCUAGAGAGCAGUUCAGCAAAUAUGGUGUCUGGAAGCUGAAGGAGUGUUGCAACACUUAGCUUGGAGAUUGUUGUUUCCAACAGAUAGAUCUGUUGGCCUAAAUAUCCUACUUGGCACAAGUCCAUAUAAAGUUAUCAGUGACAGCAGCAUUGCAUUACAUGGCUCAUUUUAUGCUUCAUGUUCAGUGAUGUAAGGCAGUCAACUUGAAGAACAGGUGAAAGUGGUAAUUCUUACUGUCCUGGACAUACUUGUAGAUGUCUGAAAUGUAUGAAUAAUUGCUGGACUUAAUUGGCCAUCUCUAAAACUGGCAGUCCUGAAAAGGACAAGUCUGAUCUGUGAGUCCACCCUCGUUCUUCUUCCAGUACUGCAUUAGGACAAGGAUGCACUCUCUGCACAGGUUCAAGUUCAGUAAUUUAGAAUCUGCCAAAACUUCCAGGCUCAAUUUUCUCGUGCUGACCCAGUCCCAUAAUACUUGGAUUACAGCAGCGGUGGUUCUGUGGAAGCAGAUGCCUAACUCCCACAACUGCAGGAGAGAGGAACCAUGGAGCAUUGAUUACUAAAUCACUGUUGAUGAUACAUGAUUCCACUACACUAACAACACACAUCAUUACAAAUAUUGCCUAGUGUCUAAUCUCACAAUAAACACACAAACUGCCUUCA
rnacentral:lncRNA from 1 species